rnacentral:rRNA from 1 species
UGGCUCAGAUUGAACGCUAGCGGGAUGCCUUACACAUGCAAGUCGAACGGCAGCACGGACUUCGGUCUGGUGGCGAGUGGCGAACGGGUGAGUAAUGUAUCGGAACGUGCCUAGUAGCGGGGGAUAACUACGCGAAAGCGUAGCUAAUACCGCAUACGCCCUACGGGGGAAAGCAGGGGAUCGUAAGACCUUGCACUAUUAGAGCGGCCGAUAUCGGAUUAGCUAGUUGGUGGGGUAACGGCUCACCAAGGCGACGAUCCGUAGCUGGUUUGAGAGGACGACCAGCCACACUGGGACUGAGACACGGCCCAGACUCCUACGGGAGGCAGCAGUGGGGAAUUUUGGACAAUGGGGGAAACCCUGAUCCAGCCAUCCCGCGUGUGCGAUGAAGGCCUUCGGGUUGUAAAGCACUUUUGGCAGGAAAGAAACGUCGUGGGUUAAUACCCCGCGAAACUGACGGUACCUGCAGAAUAAGCACCGGCUAACUACGUGCCAGCAGCCGCGGUAAUACGUAGGGUGCAAGCGUUAAUCGGAAUUACUGGGCGUAAAGCGUGCGCAGGCGGUUCGGAAAGAAAGAUGUGAAAUCCCAGAGCUUAACUUUGGAACUGCAUUUUUAACUACCGAGCUAGAGUGUGUCAGAGGGAGGUGGAAUUCCGCGUGUAGCAGUGAAAUGCGUAGAUAUGCGGAGGAACACCGAUGGCGAAGGCAGCCUCCUGGGAUAACACU